AUGGACUGGAUCCAUCAAUGUGCAGGAGAGGGACUGGAAUGGGUCGGACGUGUUGCAAAGGGCGGAAACAUCUAUUAUAAUAGUAUUUUCCAAAAUCGAUUAACUCUCAGCAAAGUCACCUCCAAAAAUCAGUUUUACCUCCAACUUAAUAGUCUAAAACCAGAAGACACCGCCUUUUAUUCCUGCACAGAAGACACACAAUGCACCACUGGGGCCCUUUCUCAGACUCUCACCCAGUCAAGUCCAGUAAUCAAGAAUCAAGGAGACUCGCUCCAACUCAAAUGCUCCAUAACAGGGUUUGAUAUUUACAAUCAUUAUAUGGAUUGGUUGGUGAAGAAGCCCGGGGACCCACUGAAGUGGCUGGUACAUUAUCGUAUCCCCAAGUACAGCGCUUAUUCUCCCACAAUACAAGGAAGAUUUACAGCCUCCAAAGACAAUUCCAACUUCUACCUCCAAAUGAAUGACUUGAAAGUGGAAGACACAGCUGUGUAUUAUUGUACUAGUGCAAUAACCCACACAAUGAUGGAAAAGAAUCAUGACAAGAGGGGAAAAAAAACCUUGUUUGUUUAUUCAUGCCUGACACAUUUUUGA